UGCACUAGACUAACAGUAUUUCUUAUAUAUAUUUCUAACACUCCACCCUGAAGGUAUGUGUGCUUAUGCUUAACUUGGGUAAGCAUAAGUAUAUUUUUGGGUAUAAAAUAUUCCUUGUGUACUUAGUUUUGUUGGAGAAGGACUAGGAGGAGGAGGAGGGGGGAGAUAGAAAGUCCUUUUCAUAAGUCCUCUGGAUCCUGAAGUGUGUGGUCCGCACGCUCACACAGUGAAAAUGGACACUGCAGCGGAGACAUGCUAAUUUGUCAGAGUGUCGGUGUCGCUUCGCUACGAGACCAGCGGCACUAGGCUGGGAGCAUGAAUUAGGAAGCACUGAUGCACUGUCAACACUCUAAUCCCUUAAUAAAGAACCCGGCUUUGCGGGGGAUUAGGGGCUGGCAUCAGCCAGGAGAGAGGGGCAACAGAGCCUCUGGCAACAGUCCCCGUCUCCCACCUGUUCCUUACGGUAACCAAGGCAACGUCACAUUCCCCUGUGUGAAAGGACCCUGUGGGAUUUCAGCCACCAAGACCAGCUUAAAAAAAAAACUAAAAAGAAAGAAACUACUUUCUUAUGGAAUGAUGGCAGGAUGUGACUCGCGUGGGCCGUGACAUCGUAGA